rnacentral:rRNA from 1 species
CGACCGGCGCACGGGUGAGUAACGCGUAUGCAACCUACCUAUCAGGAGGGGAACUAACCGGCGAAAGUCGGACUAAUACCGCAUAAAACAGGGGUUCCACAUGGAAAUAUUUGUUAAAGAAUUAUCGCUGAUAGAUGGGCAUGCGUUCCAUUAGAUAGUUGGUGAGGUAACGGCUCACCAAGUCCACGAUGGAUAGGGGUUCUGAGAGGAAGGUCCCCCACACUGGUACUGAGACACGGACCAGACUCCUACGGAAGGCAGCAG